AGUCUAGGUGGAGAGUCAUGGUGACUUGGACCCAUCCAACAGAGACGAAGACAACUAAAUGGAUUCAGGAUAUAUUCUAGAGAUAACGAGUCCUAACUCUUUGCCAAGGAUAUGGCAAAGACUCUGAUGGAAAAGGCAGUAAUGUGUACACAAAGGUGAACAUAAAUAAAUGUGUGUAUGAUAAACGCUGGGAAUGGACAUAGAAAAACGGGUAUGCAAUUGGACAGAGACGACGGGAGACAGAAGGAAAGAUACUUGCUCAGCUGUAUCUAAAAUACAUAAAUCCAUUGUGGCACAAUGUAAUAUG
rnacentral:lncRNA from 10 species